UGCUGUUUUUCUGUUAUAUUGUGUGAAACUGCAACUUAGGCCACUAUAUUUAAGAUGUUGCAGCUUCUUUUGUUAUGAAUAUAAAUGCUUGUCUAUUGAUUUUCAGUUCCAGCUUCCAAAUGAGUAUUGUGGGAUUGUUUGUAUAGACAAUUUGUUGUGUUUGGAAGUUUGGAAUACAUGGUCUUUCAAGUUAUCAACAGAUAAAGAUAAGUUUAUAAGAUUCAGGGUUAUUAUUUUGGCAGUCCCUUAUAGGCUCCAGAGUUGAUAGCAGGACACAGAAAAUUUUCUCCUUCCUAUCCUAAGAAGACGUCAACUCAUUAUCUGCUACAUACUUCACCUGUAAUUGAAAGAGCAUAUAAUUCACGGAAUGGGGACUAUGGUGGCAAGGUAUGGAACACUUCCCCAUCUGAGCAAAACCGCCUCAAAGCUCAAGUUUUUAACAACUCAAGUCCUCCAUUUUCAAAAAGCAAGCUUCUUUACUGCAACAUUUGCAGAUUGUGAAGAAGAAAAACCACAAAACCCAAAGAGACCCAAGUAGAUGGUACAUUUUUCAUGCACCAUAUAUGUGCCAUGUUUUGGAACAAUAUAAAGGUGGAUGUCCCAAGUAGAUGGACAUGCACUAGAAUGCUUUUCUAGUUUAAAUGUUGGUUUCAAUGAUUGGGAA